rnacentral:tRNA from 1 species
AAAUUGUAGUUUAAAUAAAUCGUUGUUUUGUGGUGACAAAGAAGAUGACAUUAUUCAAGUUAUAUUUUUUC